ACACUUAUCUGGCAGGGGAGAUACCAGGACCACAAAGGUGGUUUUCCCAGGGUGAAGCUUACCCAUUGCCCUCUGAUGUGCUGCCCCCUGUGAUUUCCCCGAAUGUGGGAAACUCAACUGCAUAAUUGGUGGGAGUGGGGGACUGCAUUCACGCUCUCUUCUU
rnacentral:snRNA from 1 species